CCCUUAGAUGUCCGGGGCCGCACGCGCGCUACAAUGGAUGAAUCAACGCGUCAUCCUGGCCCGAAAGGGUUGGGGAACCGCUGAACCUCAUCCGUGGUUGGGAUUGGGGUUUGUAAUUAUUCCCCAUGAACUAGGAAUUCCCAGUAAGCGCGAGUCAUAAGCUCGCGUUGAUUACGUCCCUGCCCUUUGUACACACCGCCCGUCGCUACUGCCGAUUGGAUGGUUUAGUGAGAUCCUCGGAUUGGUCACGGCACGGUGGCAACACUGCGUCGGUGUGCCGAGAAGACGAUCAAACUUGAUCAUCUAGAGGAAGUAAAAGUCGUAACA
rnacentral:rRNA from 1 species